rnacentral:tRNA from 1 species
ACACUUUUAGCAAUUGGUAAAGCAACGGUCUCCAAAAUCGUCAGAUCUAUGUUCGAAUCGUAGAAGGUGUA